UACGGGGGGGGCGAGCGUUGUUCGGAAUCACUGGGCGUAAAGGGCGCGUAGGCGGCCCGCACAAGUCUGCGGUGAAAACCCCCGGCUUAACCGGGGGCCGGCCGUGGAAGCUGUCGGGCUGGAGGCUGGGAGAGGGCAGCGGAAUUCCCGGUGUAGCGGUGAAAUGCGUAGAGAUCGGGAGGAACACCGGCGGCGAAGGCGGCUGCCUGGACCAGUCCUGACGCUGAGGCGCGAAAGCUAGGGGAGCAAACAGG
rnacentral:rRNA from 1 species